rnacentral:rRNA from 1 species
GCUCAGAUUGAACGCUGGCGGCAUGCCUUACACAUGCAAGUCGAACGGUAACAGGUUAAGCUGACGAGUGGCGAACGGGUGAGUAAUAUAUCGGAACGUGCCCAGUCGUGGGGGAUAACUGCUCGAAAGAGCAGCUAAUACCGCAUACGACCUGAGGGUGAAAGCGGGGGAUCGCAAGACCUCGCGCGAUUGGAGCGGCCGAUAUCAGAUUAGCUAGUUGGCGGGGUAAAAGCCCACCAAGGCAACGAUCUGUAGCUGGUCUGAGAGGACGACCAGCCACACUGGGACUGAGACACGGCCCAGACUCCUACGGGAGGCAGCAGUGGGGAAUUUUGGACAAUGGACGCAAGUCUGAUCCAGCCAUGCCGCGUGCGGGAAGAAGGCCUUCGGGUUGUAAACCGCUUUUGUCAGGGAAGAAAAGGGUGUCUUUAAUAAAGACGCCUCAUGACGGU